rnacentral:lncRNA from 1 species
GUCCCCUUGGGUGACCCGAGGAGCUUCGUGACCUUCUGAUGUCACCUUGGGUGCCCCGAGGACCUUUUGACGUCCUCUUGGGUGCCCCAAGGUCCUUCAUGACCUUCUGACGUCAACUUGGGUUCCCCAAGGAGCUCUCAACGUCCCCUUGGGUGUCCCAAGGUUCUUCUGAUGUCCCCUUGGGUGCCCCAAGGUUCUUCAUGACCUUUUGCUGUCCCCUUGGGUGCCCCAAGGACCCUCUGACGUCCCCUUGGGUGCUCCCAAAUACCUCUUGGGUGCCCCAAGGACCUUUUGACGUCCCCUUGGGUGCCCCAAGGACUUCCAGGAGCUCCCAAAUUCCUCUUGGGUGACCCGAGGACCUUUUGAUGUCCCCUUGGGUGCCCCAAAGUCCUCCCAAUGUUCCCUUGGGUGCCCCAAGGUCCUUCAUGACCUCCUGAUGUCACCUUGGGUGCCCCAAGGAGCUCCCGAUGUCCUUUUGGGUGUCCCAAGGACCUUCUGAUGUCCCCUUGGGUGCCCCAAGGUCCUUGAUGACCUCCCAAUGUCACUUUGGGUGCCCCAAGGACCUUUUGACGUCCCCUUGAGUGCCCCAAGGAACUCCUGACGUCCCCUUGGGUGCCCCAAGGACUUCCAGGAGCUCCCAAAUUCCUCCUGGGUGCCCCAAGGACCUUCAUGACCUCCCGACAUCCCCUUGGGUGCCCCCAAAGUCCCCCAGUAGACCCCAGUUGGCCCCAGUUGACCCCAGUAGACCCCAGUUGACCCCAGGACAUCCCAGUUGCCCCCAGAACACCCCAGGUGCCCCCUGACCUCAUUGUCCCCCCCCCCCAGAUGUUCAUCGUGGACAAGGUGGAGGGCGACGUCUGCUCCCUCAACGAGUUCUCCAUCACCGGCUCCACCUACGCCCCCGAGGGAGACGUGUGAGUGGUCCAUACGGGUCCAGAACGGCCUCCCCUUGGGGCUCCUGUCCGGUAUCGGCCUCGUUUUUGGGGCCAUCAUCCCCAACGGGUCAAUAUCGGCCUUGGUUUUGGGGCCUCCAUCCCUAAAUGGGUCAAUAUUGACCUCAUUUUUGAGCCCCCCAACCCCAACAAAACCCAUUCUGGCCUCAUUUUGGAGGUCCCCAUCCCCAAAAAGCCAAUCCUAACUUCAUUUUUGACCUCCCAAACCCCAACAAACCAAUCCUGGCCUCAUUUUUGACCUCCCAAACCCCCAAAAGCCAAUUCUGGCCUCAUUUUCGAGCCCCCCAUCCCCCAAAACCCAAUCCCAGCCUCAUU